GACCACUCUGGUGGCUGAGUGGUUAAAGUGUCUGCCUCAGAUGUGGGAGGUUGUGGGUUCAAACCCUGGCCAAGUCA